AUUUAUGAGCUGUAAUCAUUCUCCCUUUAACGUGCGUACUUGGUUUUUAUGCUAAACUCAUGUUUGUGUGUCGUUUUGCAUGCACCCUAAUUUGGGUAUUUAAACGCUUCACUUCACAAUUGCACACUUUUCACUCACAAACACUUCUAACCCUCUCCUUCAGUUUUCCUCUCUCUCUCUCUCUCUCUCUCUCAAAGGCAUUUCUGCAGCGUUACUCAGGUUCUUCAACCUU
rnacentral:lncRNA from 1 species